UACAAUUGACCAGUUAGCACAGGAUUUGACCCUUCAUCUAAAUUAUUUGGGGCAAAUGUAAGGGGAAUUUAAUUUUAGAAAAUGGGCAAAGGGUCAGACGCAGACUCUCUCCCCCAGCAAACACAGCGCAGGUGGAGAAGCCAGAGGGGAGCUGAAGCUCUAAAAUGUUCUGUUCCCAUCACAACGGAAGAGACUAUAACCUCUUUAUUACUGAGGUGGGGGAUGAUGUGAGUGUGCUUGGAAACCUAAGCCCUUUUGUGAGUUGGAGUUUGAUGGAACCAUGAUGAAAGAGAGACAAUUCUUUUAUCGCCAGAAAAUAAGUGUUAGUUUUCAAACAAUAUUUGCACAUCUCAAUACCUGUAUGAUACUUUUCAGUGACCACCACAGGGCUGAGGAAAAGAAGUUGUGACAUUCUGUCCAAGUUGACGGAGAUCUGGACUUGCCCCAGUUUUAGAUUAAAAAUACCUCUUUAUACUAAAAUGCCCUGUGGACAUGUCAUCCCAAGUGUGAUCAUGGCCAACAACAAGUUUGUUGACCAACCCAGGGAACUCCUCAGAGAGAAGUCACAUUUAAAGAGACACAGUCCAGGCUCAAUACCUUCCACUCCACUUGCUGAUGAAUAUGUUUCCGCAGCCCUGGUGGUUUGCCCGCUGUACCCGUAACUGCACCAACACUAGCCCGCGGCAGUUCUGCGCUCAUGAAAAGAAAAGCUGCCCCAUACCU